AAAUGUUUUAAAUGAUUAGUUCGUUAUAAAUGAAUAAUGAAAGUUUAAAAGUUAGAAAAAAAAGUACAAGAAUGAUAACUUAAACAACCUUGAGGGGUUAAACUUGUAAUUAUGUUACUAACUUAUUAAAAAAAAUAAAAACCCAGUAUAGUGGGUGUGUGUGGGUCGCGACCAAGAACCAGGGGAGAAAGGAAAACCCCUUUUCCUUCAUAAAAUUUCAAGAAUUCAGGGAAUUAAGGUGCUAUUGAUCCAGAAAAUCGAAUGCAUGAAGUAAAUUCCUUGCUAAUCUAAGUGUACUGAAGACAAGGAGUCAUGUCAAUAGAGGCACAAAUAUGGAAGCGCUACGGGUCGAAGGUAAACACGGAAGCUAUGUGUAAAUUCGGACGCACGAGGUAAGUAAACUCCCCGACUCCUUCCUUAGUAGUAAAAGAGGUUAUUUGUAUGAUAAAUGUUAGCAAUUAUGCAAGAUGCUUUAUUGACAUUGGUAACAAGUAAGGAGCACUAAGGAAGUGAUUUCUGAAUCACCUCCUACACCAUUUUAGGAAGGCUAUAUGCGAGUCACUUAAGUAUGGUAAUCUAAGUUUAUCUAGGAUUCGGUUAUUGGAGGUGAUGGUGUUCGCUAAGAAGACCGAACGGGUUAAAAUAAGAGUAUAUUAGUGUAGUUUUUAUGCAAAUUGAGCUGCCAAAAUAGUGCAGAAUUUUCAUGUUAAUUGUUGUUAAGAUAGUGCAGUUUUUAUGCAUUUUUGAGCUGCCAAAAUAGUGCAGAAUUUUGAUGUUAAUUGUUGUUAAAAUAGUGCAGUUUUUAUGCGUUUUGAGCUGCCAAAAUAGUGCAGAAUUGUGCUGUUUAUUGUUGUUAAAAUAGUGCAGUUUUUAUGCGUUUUGAGCUGCCAAAAUAGUGCAGAAUUGUGCUGUUUAUUGUUGUUAAAAUAGUGCAGUUUUUAUGCGUUUUGAGCUGCCAAAAUAGUGCAGAAUUGUGCUGUUUAUUGUUGUUAAAAUAGUGCAGUUUUUAUGCAUUUUGAGCUGCCAAAAUAGUGCAGAAUUGUGCUGUUUAUUGUUGUUAAAAUAGUGCAGUUUUUAUGCAUUUUGAGAUGUCAAACUAGUGCAGAAUUGUGCUGUGUAUUGCUAUUAAAAUAGUGCAGUUUUUAUGCAUAUCGAGCUGUUAAAAUAGUGUAGAAUUGUGCAGUUUAUAAUGUAUGUACGUGGUCUAUUUGUAUGGAAGCUUGUAAUCAGCAUACCUUAGUAAACCUUGGGAUGAUUUAAGUGAUUUAUAAGGGUUGUACGUUUGUACGUGGGUACGUAAUCACGUGUGGAAGUUCAUGUCUAUGAAUACACGUGUGUUUGUGCCUGCGUCUGAAUUAGGAUUCAUUGCUUAUGAGCGAACGGAACUUGGGUAUGUGUUCGUACAACUUAAAUAAGUGGAAGCGUUAAGUUACUAAACCGUUGUCUUGAGUAUGAAAUGUGAUUGCAGGUACUCUAUUAAUGUCUUUACCAAGGUUAAGGAAUUGAAGUGCACGAAUGUACAUGGAAAGCAUAUUCGUAAGGAUCAGUAUGGGAAGAAGGAACGUGGACGGGUUAUUGAUCAUGUGUGUUUAGUUUAGGAAUGAUGUCAUUAAAUCUAACCGAUGCACAUGUAUGUGGUGAAUGCAGGUUGCUUGGAUUUAGCAUCAUUACGAAGGAUGGAAAGAUUGAAGAUCGAGUCAAGAGCAAAGGAUUGUACGAGAAGGAUCGGUCACAUAGUUUGUUAAAUGUAGGUCCGAAGUAUUAAUAUAAUGGAACAUGGUAAAUCCUUUUUAAUGAGUGUAUGACAUUUGGUAUUCGAAGUUUCCUGUAAGUACUAUGUCUAUUAAAGAACGAAAUUUUGGGUUCAUA